rnacentral:rRNA from 1 species
CCUACGGGAGGCUGCAGUGAGGAAUAUUGGUCAAUGGGCGCGAGCCUGAACCAGCCAAGUCGCGUGAGGGAAGACGGUCCUAUGGAUUGUAAGCCUCUUUUGUCGGGGAGCAAGAGACGCCACGCGUGGCGUUCCGAGAGUACCCUAAGAAAAAGCCUCGGCUAACUCCGUUCCAUCAGGCGCGGUAAUACGGGGGAUGCGCGCGUUGUCCGGGUUUCUUGGGUUAAAGGGGGGCGCAGGCGGAAGAUCAAGUCAGCGGUAAAAGUGAGUGGCUCAACCCCUGAGAGGCGUUGAAACUGGUUUGCUUGAGUGAGCGAGAAGUAUGCGGAAUGCGUGGUGUAGCGGUGAAAUGCAUAGAUAUCACGCAGAACUCCGAUUGCGAAGGCAGCAUACCGGCGCUCAACUGACGCUGAUGCACGAAAGUGUGGGUAUCGAACAGGAUUAGAUACCCGAGUAGUC